AUUGAACGCUGGCGGAAUGCUUUACACAUGCAAGUCGAACGGCAGCACGGACUUCGGUUUGGUGGCGAGUGGCGAACGGGUGAGUAAUGUAUCGGAACGUGCCCAGUCGUGGGGGAUAACGUAGUGAAAAUUACGCUAAUACCGCAUACGAUCUAUGGAUGAAAGCGGGGGAUCGCAAGACCUCGCGCGAUUGGAGCGGCCGAUAUCAGAUUAGGUAGUUGGUGGGGUAAAGGCCCACCAAGCCAACGAUCUGUAGCUGGUCGGAGAGGACGACCAGCCACACUGGAACGGAGACACGGUCCAGACUCCUACGGGAGGCAGCAGUGGGGAAUUUUGGACAAUGGGCGAAAGCCUGAUCCAGCCAUUCCGCGUGCAGGAUGAAGGCCCUCGGGUUGUAAACUGCUUUUGUACAGAACGAAAAGGUUUCUACUAAUACUAGGAGCUCAUGACGGUACUGUAAGAAUAAGCACCGGCUAACUACGUGCCAGCCGCCGCGGUAA
rnacentral:rRNA from 1 species